rnacentral:hammerhead_ribozyme from 1 species
AUCCAGCUGACGAGUCCCAAACAGGACGAAACACGUGUUUAGCAC